UGGGGAAUAUUGCGCAAUGGGGGGAACCCUGACGCAGCCAUGCCGCGUGAAUGAAGAAGGCCUUCGGGUUGUAAAGUUCUUUCGGUAUUGAGGAAGGUUGAUGUGUUAAUAGCACAUCAAAUUGACGUUAAAUACAGAAGAAGCACCGGCUAACUCCGUGCCAGCAGCCGCGGUAAUACGGAGGGUGCGAGCGUUAAUCGGAAUAACUGGGCGUAAAGGGCACGCAGGCGGUUAUUUAAGUGAGGUGUGAAAGCCCCGGGCUUAACCUGGGAAUUGCAUUUCAGACUGGGUAANUAGAGUACUUUAGGGAGGGGUAGAAUUCCACGUGUAGCGGUGAAAUGCGUAGAGAUGUGGAGGAAUACCGAAGGCGAAGGCAGCCCCUUGGGAAUGUACUGACGCUCAUGUGCGAAAGCGUGGGGAGCAAACAGGAUUAGAUACCCUGGUAGUCCACGCUGUAAACGCUGUCGAUUUGGGGGUUGGGGUUUAACUCUGGCGCCCGUAGCUAACGUGAUAAAUCGACCGCCUGGGGAGUNCNNNCGCAAGGUUA
rnacentral:rRNA from 1 species